ACUUAACCAUUAGUCAUUGACAUCAUCGUACAACUAAAUUCACAUAUAAUUAAAUAGUAUAACAUUCGACAACGUAAACUUUGAUUUAUCCGACUAUCCUCUCGGAUUCUCUCGUUCCGAGUUCAGCUUCCAUUCCACGAGAAUCCGUCGUUCUCAUUCCUGCAUUACCUACCAAUCUCAAGCACAUUGUUAGUGAGAUCCUUACCCAAACAUAUUGAAACCAAGCAUACCUGCAUACGUACUUGCGUGCUUACAUAUUCGUGUCUAUGCAUAUUUUACUUACAUCCAAUUCUUGUUUAACUUGUUCAACCCAAAAACAUCAAGAGAACACCCAAAAUUUGGUUUAGAAGGCUUACCAUAGACCACGGUUGAUAUACCGAAGCUUACGAUACAUUAAACAACUUAGUUAACAAAUUUCAGCAUUCUA
rnacentral:lncRNA from 1 species